rnacentral:rRNA from 1 species
AGAGUGAACGCUGGCGGUAGGCCUAACACAUGCAAGUCGAACGGCAGCACGGUAAGAGCUUGCUCUUAUGGGUGGCGAGUGGCGGACGGGUGAGGAAUACAUCGGAAUCUACCUUUUGGUGGGGGAUAACGUAGGGAAACUUACGCUAAUACCGCAUACGCCCUUCGGGGGAAAGGCCGGGGACCAGCAAUGGCCUGGCGCUGAUAGAUGAGCCGAUGUCGGAUUAGCUAGUUGGUGAGGUAAUGGCUCACCAAGGCGACGAUCCGUAGCUGGUCUGAGAGGAUGAUCAGCCAACACUGGAACUGAGACCACGGUCCAG